rnacentral:tRNA from 2 species
GGAGGGUUCGCAUAGCGGUCGAGUGCACCGUCUUGGAAAGGCGGCAAGGUGAAAGCCUUCACGAGUUCGAAUCUCGUACCCUCCG